UAUCAACCAAACACGACAUAAACAAGUUGCAA
rnacentral:piRNA from 1 species